rnacentral:rRNA from 1 species
GUGCCAGCCGCCGCGGUAACACGGGGGGAGCAAGCGUUGUUCGGAAUCACUGGGCGUAAAGGGCGUGUAGGCGGUCAGGUAAGUGGGAUGUGAAAUGCUUCGGCUCACCCGGAGCCCUGCAUCCCAAACUGUCUGGCUUGAGUAUGGGAGAGGAUGAGGGAAUUCCUGGUGUAGCGGUGAAAUGCGUAGAUAUCAGGAGGAACACCGGUGGCGAAAGCGCUCAUCUGGCCCAAUACUGACGCUGAUGCGCGAAAGCUAGGGGAGCAAACGGGAUUAGAUACCCGCGUAGUCC